AUUGAACGCUGGCGGCAGGCCUAACACAUGCAAGUCGAACGAGUGGCGGACGGGUGAGUAAUGUCUGGGAAACUGCCUGAUGGAGGGGGAUAACUACUGGAAACGGUAGCUAAUACCGCAUUCCAUCGGAUGUGCCCAGAUGGGAUUAGCUAGUAGGUGGGGUAACGGCAAACCUAGGCGACGAUCCCUAGCUGGUCUGAGAGGAUGACCAUCCACACUGGGUCUGAGUAACGGGCCAGACGCCUACGGGAGGAAGCAGUGGGGAAUAUUGCACAAUGGAGGCGAGCCUGAUGAAGACAUGCCGCGGGUAUGUAGAAGGCAUUAGGGUUGUAAAGUACUUUCAGCGGAGAGGCGUUAACCGCAGAAGAAGCAACAGCUAACUCCAUGCCAGCAGCCGCGGUGAUUCC
rnacentral:rRNA from 1 species